GACGGGUGAGUAACACGUGGGAACGUACCUUUCGGUUCGGAAUAAUCCAGGGAAACUUGGACUAAUACCGGAUACGCCCUUCGGGGGAAAGAUUUAUCGCCGAUAGAUCGGCCCGCGUCUGAUUAGCUAGUUGGUGAGGUAAUGGCUCACCAAGGCGACGAUCAGUAGCUGGUCUGAGAGGAUGAUCAGCCACAUUGGGACUGAGACACGGCCCAAACUCAUACGGGAGGCAGCAGUGGGGAAUAUUGGACAAUGGGCGCAAGCCUGAUCCAGCCAUGCCGCGUGAGUGAUGAAGGCCUUAGGGUUGUAAAGCUCUUUUGUCCGGGAAGAUAAUGACUGUACCGGAAGAAUAAGCCCCGGCUAACUUCGUGCCAGCAGCCGCGGUAAUACGAAGGGGGCUAGCGUUGCUCGGAAUCACUGGGCGUAAAGGGCGCGUAGGCGGACUCUUAAGUCGGGGGUGAAAGCCCAGGGCUCAACCCUGGAAUAGCCUUCGAUACUGAGAGUCUUGAGUUCGGAAGAGGUUGGUGGAAUUGCGAGUGUAGAGGUGAAAUUCGUAGAUAUUCGCAAGAACACCAGUGGCGAAGGCGGCCAACUGGUCCGAUACUGACGCUGAGGCGCGAAAGCGUGGGGAGCAAACAGGAUUAGAUACC
rnacentral:rRNA from 1 species